AACCAGACUCCUACGGGAGGCAGCAGUGGGGAAUAUUGCACAAUGGGGGAAACCCUGAUGCAGCGACGCCGCGUGAGUGAAGAAGUAUUUCGGUAUGUAAAGCUCUAUCAGCAGGGAAGAAAAUGACGGUACCUGACUAAGAAGCCCCGGCUAACUACGUGCCAGCAGCCGCGGUAAUACGUAGGGGGCAAGCGUUAUCCGGAUUUACUGGGUGUAAAGGGAGCGUAGACGGCCAUGCAAGCCAGGGGUGAAAGCCCGGGGCCCAACCCCGGGACUGCCCUUGGAACUGCAUGGCUGGAGUGCGGGAGGGGCAGGCGGAAUUCCUGGUGUAGCGGUGAAAUGCGUAGAUAUCAGGAGGAACACCGGCGGCGAAGGCGGCCUGCUGGACCGUGACUGACGUUGAGGCUCGAGAGCGUGGGGAGCAAACAGGAUUAGAUACCCUGGUAGU
rnacentral:rRNA from 1 species